rnacentral:rRNA from 1 species
AUUGAACGCUGGCGGCAUGCCUUACACAUGCAAGUCGAACGGCAGCGGGGGAGAAGCUUGCUUUUCCUGCCGGCGAGUGGCGAACGGGUGAGUAAUACAUCGGAACGUGCCCUGUAGUGGGGGAUAACUAGUCGAAAGAUUAGCUAAUACCGCAUACGACCUGAGGGUGAAAGUGGGGGACCGCAAGGCCUCAUGCUAUAGGAGCGGCCGAUGUCUGAUUAGCUAGUUGGUGGGGUAAAGGCCUACCAAGGCGACGAUCAGUAGCUGGUCUGAGAGGACGAUCAGCCACACUGGGACUGAGACACGGACCAGACUCCUACGGGAGGCAGCAGUGGGGAAUUUUGGACAAUGGGCGAAAGCCUGAUCCAGCAAUGCCGCGUGUGUGAAGAAGGCCUUCGGGUCGUAAAGCACUUUUGUCCGGAAAGAAAUGGCUCUGGUUAAUACCUGGGGUCGAUGACGGUACCGGAAGAAUAAGGACCGGCUAACUACGUGCCAGCCGCCGCCGUAA